AUCCAACUGAUGAGUCUCAAAUAGAACGAAACAAGCAUCCUGGAU
rfam:Schistosoma rodhaini strain Burundi genome assembly, scaffold: SROB_scaffold0000097